rnacentral:rRNA from 1 species
CCCUUAGAUGUUCGGGGCCGCACGCGCGCUACACUGAAGGAAUCAGCGUGUGUUUACCCUGGUCCGGAAGGAUCGGGUAACCCGUUGAACCUCCUUCGUGCUAGGGAUUGGGGCUUGUAAUUCUUCCCCAUGAACGAGGAAUUCCCAGUAAGCGCGAGUCAUAAGCUCGCGUUGAUUACGUCCCUGCCCUUUGUACACACCGCCCGUCGCUACUACCGAUUGAAUGGUUUAGUGAGAUCCUCGGAUUGGUCCCGUCAUGGUGGGAAACCUCCGCGACGGUGUGCCUAGAAGACGAUCAAACUUGAUCAUUUAGAGGAAGUAAAAGUCGUAACA